rnacentral:rRNA from 1 species
CACACUAUCAUUAACUGAAUCCAUAGGUUAAUGAGGCGAACCGGGGGAACUGAAACAUCUAAGUACCCCGAGGAAAAGAAAUCAACCGAGAUUCCCCCAGUAGCGGCGAGCGAACGGGGAGCAGCCCAGAGCCUGAAUCAGUGUGUGUGUUAGUGGAAGCGUCUGGAAAGGCGCGCGAUACAGGGUGACAGCCCCGUACACAAAAAUGCACAUGCUGUGAGCUCGAUGAGUAGGGCGGGACACGUGGUAUCCUGUCUGAAUAUGGGGGGACCAUCCUCCAAGGCUAAAUACUCCUGACUGACCGAUAGUGAACCAGUACCGUGAGGGAAAGGCGAAAAGAACCCCGGCGAGGGGAGUGAAAAAGAACCUGAAACCGUGUACGUACAAGCAGUGGGAGCACGCUUAGGCGUGUGACUGCGUACCUUUUGUAUAAUGGGUCAGCGACUUAUAUUCUGUAGCAAGGUUAACCGAAUAGGGGAGCCGAAGGGAAACCGAGUCUUAACUGGGCGUUAAGUUGCAGGGUAUAGACCCGAAACCCGGUGAUCUAGCCAUGGGCAGGUUGAAGGUUGGGUAACACUAACUGGAGGACCGAACCGACUAAUGUUGAAAAAUUAGCGGAUGACUUGUGGCUGGGGGUGAAAGGCCAAUCAAACCGGGAGAUAGCUGGUUCUCCCCGAAAGCUAUUUAGGUAGCGCCUCGUGAAUUCAUCUCCGGGGGUAGAGCACUGUUUCGGCAAGGGGGUCAUCCCGACUUACCAACCCGAUGCAAACUGCGAAUACCGGAGAAUGUUAUCACGGGAGACACACGGCGGGUGCUAACGUCCGUCGUGAAGAGGGAAACAACCCAGACCGCCAGCUAAGGUCCCAAAGUCAUGGUUAAGUGGGAAACGAUGUGGGAAGGCCCAGACAGCCAGGAUGUUGGCUUAGAAGCAGCCAUCAUUUAAAGAAAGCGUAAUAGCUCACUGGUCGAGUCGGCCUGCGCGGAAGAUGUAACGGGGCUAAACCAUGCACCGAAGCUGCGGCAGCGACGCUGAUGCGUUGUUGGGUAGGGGAGCGUUCUGUAAGCCUGUGAAGGUGUGCUGUGAGGUAUGCUGGAGGUAUCAGAAGUGCGAAUGCUGACAUAAGUAACGAUAAAGCGGGUGAAAAGCCCGCUCGCCGGAAGACCAAGGGUUCCUGUCCAACGUUAAUCGGGGCAGGGUGAGUCGACCCCUAAGGCGAGGCCGAAAGGCGUAGUCGAUGGGAAACAGGUUAAUAUUCCUGUACUUGGUGUUACUGCGAAGGGGGGACGGAGAAGGCUAUGUUGGCCGGGCGACGGUUGUCCCGGUUUAAGCGUGUAGGCUGGUUUUCCAGGCAAAUCCGGAAAAUCAAGGCUGAGGCGUGAUGACGAGGCACUACGGUGCUGAAGCAACAAAUGCCCUGCUUCCAGGAAAAGCCUCUAAGCAUCAGGUAACAUCAAAUCGUACCCCAAACCGACACAGGUGGUCAGGUAGAGAAUACCAAGGCGCUUGAGAGAACUCGGGUGAAGGAACUAGGCAAAAUGGUGCCGUAACUUCGGGAGAAGGCACGCUGAUAUGUAGGUGAAGUCCCUCGCGGAUGGAGCUGAAAUCAGUCGAAGAUACCAGCUGGCUGCAACUGUUUAUUAAAAACACAGCACUGUGCAAACACGAAAGUGGACGUAUACGGUGUGACGCCUGCCCGGUGCCGGAAGGUUAAUUGAUGGGGUCAGCGCAAGCGAAGCUCUUGAUCGAAGCCCCGGUAAACGGCGGCCGUAACUAUAACGGUCCUAAGGUAGCGAAAUUCCUUGUCGGGUAAGUUCCGACCUGCACGAAUGGCGUAAUGAUGGCCAGGCUGUCUCCACCCGAGACUCAGUGAAAUUGAACUCGCUGUGAAGAUGCAGUGUACCCGCGGCAAGACGGAAAGACCCCGUGAACCUUUACUAUAGCUUGACACUGAACAUUGAGCCUUGAUGUGUAGGAUAGGUGGGAGGCUUUGAAGUGUGGACGCCAGUCUGCAUGGAGCCGACCUUGAAAUACCACCCUUUAAUGUUUGAUGUUCUAACGUGGACCCGUGAUCCGGGUUGCGGACAGUGUCUGGUGGGUAGUUUGACUGGGGCGGUCUCCUCCUAAAGAGUAACGGAGGAGCACGAAGGUUGGCUAAUCCUGGUCGGACAUCAGGAGGUUAGUGCAAUGGCAUAAGCCAGCUUGACUGCGAGCGUGACGGCGCGAGCAGGUGCGAAAGCAGGUCAUAGUGAUCCGGUGGUUCUGAAUGGAAGGGCCAUCGCUCAACGGAUAAAAGGUACUCCGGGGAUAACAGGCUGAUACCGCCCAAGAGUUCAUAUCGACGGCGGUGUUUGGCACCUCGAUGUCGGCUCAUCACAUCCUGGGGCUGAAGUAGGUCCCAAGGGUAUGGCUGUUCGCCAUUUAAAGUGGUACGCGAGCUGGGUUUAGAACGUCGUGAGACAGUUCGGUCCCUAUCUGCCGUGGGCGCUGGAGAACUGAGGGGGGCUGCUCCUAGUACGAGAGGACCGGAGUGGACGCAUCACUGGUGUUCGGGUUGUCAUGCCAAUGGCACUGCCCGGUAGCUAAAUGCGGAAGAGAUAAGUGCUGAAAGCAUCUAAGCACGAAACUUGCCCCGAGAUGAGUUCUCCCUGACUCCUUGAGAGUCCUGAAGGAACGUUGAAGACGACGACGUUGAUAGGCCGGGUGUGUAAGCGCAGCGAUGCGUUGAGCUAACCGGUACUAAUGAACCGUGAGGCUUAACCUUACAACGCCGAAGGUGUUU